GAUUGGGAAAGAAGAUUUAUUUCUGCAACUGGUUACAGGGAGAAGGUCGGAGUAACUAACCAGACCAACUCACAGUUGCAAUUUAUUUUAGCUUAUAUAUAUAAUUGAAGCUUUUUGCUUGCCUGCAGGAGUGUUUCUUAAUCAAUCUAAUCUUAACUAGGGGUCUGCAAGUAGGAAAGUUUAUUAGAUUUCUUCCUGAAUGGACGAGUUUAAGAAAAUCCAGGAGCUGUAACACUCACCGCGAAAAUCUACAGCUUCACUCCUGAGCCCAGCGAGACCACGAGCCCACCGUCAGGAAUGAACAACUCCAGACGCGCUGCCUUAAGAGCUGUAACGCUCACCGCAAAGGUCUCCAGCUUCACUGCUGAGCCAGCGAGACUAUGAACCCACCAGAAGGAAAAAACUCCGAACACAUCUGAACAUCAGAAGGGACAGACUCCAGACGCGCCACCUUAAGAGCUGUAACUCUCACCGCGAGGGUCCGCGGCUUCAUUCUUGAAGUCAGUGAGACCAAGAGCCCACCAAUUCUGGACACAAUAUAUUUUGGUAUUCCUCAUAU
rnacentral:lncRNA from 10 species